rnacentral:rRNA from 1 species
AUUGAACGCUGGCGGCAGGCUUAACACAUGCAAGUCGAGCGGGGGAAGGUAGCUUGCUACCGGACCUAGCGGCGGACGGGUGAGUAAUGCUUAGGAAUCUGCCUAUUAGUGGGGGACAACAUCUCGAAAGGGAUGCUAAUACCGCAUACGUCCUACGGGAGAAAGCAGGGGAUCUUCGGACCUUGCGCUAAUAGAUGAGCCUAAGUCGGAUUAGCUAGUUGGUGGGGUAAAGGCCUACCAAGGCGACGAUCUGUAGCGGGGCUGAGAGGAUGAUCCGCCAGACUGGGACUGAGAGACGGCCCAGACUCCUACGGGAGGCAGCAGUGGGGAAUAUUGGACAAUGGGGGGAACCCUGAUCCAGCCAUGCCGCGUGUGUGAAGAGGGCCUUAUGGUUGUAAAGCACUUUAAGCGAGGAGGAGGCUACUCUAGUUAAUACCUAGGGAUAGUGGACGUUACUCGCAGAAUAAGCACCGGCUAACUCUGUGCCAGCCGCCGCAGUAA